CUGCUACACAUGCAGUCCGAACGGAGGGUCCUUUCCGGAACCUUUAGUGGGCGGACGGGUGAAGUAACGCGUGAGAAUCUGGCCUCAGGACGGGGACAACGACUGGAAACGGUCGCUAAUACCCGAUGUGCCGAAAGGUGAAAGGAUUAAUUGCCUGAGGAUGAGCUCGCGUCUGAUUAGCUAGUUGGAGGGGUAAAGGCCCACCAAGGCGACGAUCAGUAGCUGGUCUGAGAGGAUGAUCAGCCACACUGGGACUGAGACACGGCCCAGACUCCUACGGGAGGCAGCAGUGGGGAAUUUUCCGCAAUGGGCGAAAGCCUGACGGAGCAAGACCGCGUGAGGGAAGACGGCCUACUGGUUGUAAACCUCUUUUGAUAGGGAAGAACACAAUGACGGUACCUAUCGAAUCAGCCUCGGCUAACUCCGUGCCAGCAGCCGCGGUAAUACGGAGGAGGCAAGCGUUAUCCGGAAUUAUUGGGCGUAAAGCGUCCGUAGGUGGAUAUUCAAGUCAGUUGUUAAAGCGUGGAGCUUAACUCCAUAAAGGCAAUUGAAACUGAAUGUCUAGAGUGCGAUAGGGGCAAGGGGAAUUCCCAGUGUAGCGGUGAAAUGCGUAGAUAUUGGGAAGAACAUCGGUGGCGAAAGCGCCUUGCUGGGUCUGCACUGACACUGAGGGACGAAAGCUAGGGGAGCGAAAGGGAUUAGAUACACCUGUAGUCCUAGCCGUAAACGAUGGAUACUAAGCGUUGUCCGUAUCGACCCG
rnacentral:rRNA from 1 species